GGCUCGUUAGCUCAGUUGGUUAGAGCGUCGUGCUAAUAACGCGAAGGUCGUGGGUUCGAUCCCCCUACGGGCCA
rnacentral:tRNA from 1 species